CUUACACAUGCAGUCUUUGGCGAAGCUGUGCUUGCACAGCCUAGCCAAGGCGGACGGGUGAGUAACGCGUAAGGAACUUGCCCUGCAGUCAGGGAUAACAGACGGAAACGACUGAUAAGACCUGGUAAAGUCAGGCGGACUCAUGUCCAGCCUGAUGAAAAGAGAUGCUGCAGGAGAGCCUUGCGUCCUAUUAGCUUGUUGGUGGGGUAACGGCCCACCAAGGCGAUGAUAGGUAGCCGGCCUGAGAGGGUGGACGGCCACAAGGGGACUGAGAUACGGCCCUUACUCCUACGGGAGGCAGCAGUGGGGAAUAUUGGACAAUGGGGGCAACCCUGAUCCAGCAAUUCUGUGUGCACGAUGAAGGUUUUCGGAUUGUAAAGUGCUUUCAGCAUGGAAGAAAAAAAUGACGGUACCUGCAGAAGAAGCGACGGCUAAAUACGUGCCAGCAGCCGCGGUAAU
rnacentral:rRNA from 1 species